rnacentral:rRNA from 1 species
AGCGAACAGACGAGGAGCUUGCUCCUUCGACGUUAGCGGCGGACGGGUGAGUAACACGUAGGUAACCUACCUAUAAGACUGGGAUAACUUCGGGAAACCGGAGCUAAUACCGGAUAAUAUUUCGAACCGCAUGGUUCGAUAGUGAAAGAUGGCUUUGCUAUCACUUAUAGAUGGACCUGCGCCGUAUUAGCUAGUUGGUAAGGUAACGGCUUACCAAGGCAACGAUACGUAGCCGACCUGAGAGGGUGAUCGGCCACACUGGAACUGAGACACGGUCCAGACUCCUACGGGAGGCAGCAGUAGGGAAUCUUCCGCAAUGGGCGAAAGCCUGACGGAGCAACGCCGCGUGAGUGAUGAAGGUCUUCGGAUCGUAAAACUCUGUUAUUAGGGAAGAACAAACGUGUAAGUAACUGUGCACGUCUUGACGGUACCUAAUCAGAAAGCCACGGCUAACUACGUGCCAGCAGCCGCGGUAAUACGUAGGUGGCAAGCGUUAUCCGGAAUUAUUGGGCGUAAAGCGCGCGUAGGCGGUUUUUUAAGUCUGAUGUGAAAGCCCACGGCUCAACCGUGGAGGGUCAUUGGAAACUGGAAAACUUGAGUGCAGAAGAGGAAAGUGGAAUUCCAUGUGUAGCGGUGAAAUGCGCAGAGAUAUGGAGGAACACCAGUGGCGAAGGCGACUUUCUGGUCUGUAACUGACGCUGAUGUGCGAAAGCGUGGGGAUCAAACAGGAUUAGA